rnacentral:rRNA from 1 species
GAUGAACGCUGGCGGCGUGCUUAACACAUGCAAGCCGAACGGUGAAGCAGGAGCUUGCUCUUGUGGAUCAGUGGCGAACGGGUGAGUAACACGUGAGCAACCUGCCCCUGACUCUGGGAUAAGCGCUGGAAACGGCGUCUAAUACUGGAUAUGUGAUGUGACCGCAUGGUCUGCAUCUGGAAAGAAUUUCGGUUGGGGAUGGGCUCGCGGCCUAUCAGCUUGUUGGUGGGGUAAUGGCUCACCAAGGCGUCGACGGGUAGCCGGCCUGAGAGGGUGACCGGCCACACUGGGACUGAGACACGGCCCAGACUCCUACGGGAGGCAGCAGUGGGGAAUAUUGCACAAUGGGCGGAAGCCUGAUGCAGCAACGCCGCGUGAGGGAUGACGGCCUUCGGGUUGUAAACCUCUUUUAGCAGGGAAGAAGCGAAAGUGACGGUACCUGCAGAAAAAGCACCGGCUAACUACGUGCCAGCAGCCGCCGUAA